AUUUAACUUGUUAUUUAAUAUUUUGUUUAGCCUUAGUCAGACUUCCAAGAAAAGCUCUUACUAUUGUAUAAAUUAAUUAACCUGUACCCUAAACCGACACAGGUAGGUAGGUAGAGAAUACUAAGGGGCGCGAGAUAACUCUCUCUAAGGAACUCGGCAAAAUGGCCCCGUAACUUCGGGAGAAGGGGUGGCUGGCUGGUGUUAAAACCGGCCGGCCCGCAGUGACCAGGCCCAGGCGACUGUUUAUCAAAAACACAGGUCUCCGCAAAGUCGUAAGACAACGUAUGGGGGCUGACGCCUGCCCAGUGCCGGAAGGUAAAAGAAGUCGGUUAUUCGACCGAUGAAGCUGACGACUGAAGCCCCGGUGAACGGCGGCUGUAACGCUGACAGUCCUAAGGUAGCGAAAUUCCUUGCCAAGUAAGUUUUGGCCCGCACGAAAGGCGUAACGAUCUGGGCACUGUCUCGGAGAGAGGCUCGGUGAAAUAGAAAUGUCUGUGAAGAUGCGGACUACUUAUACCAGGACAGAAAGACCCUAUGAAGCUUGACUGUAGCUUGGAAUUGGGUUCGGGCUCUUUUUGCGCAGUCUAGGUGGGAGGCGUUGAUAUUAGGUUUUCGGACCUAGUGGAGCCAUCAGUGAGAGACCACUCUGAAAGAGCUAGAAUCCUAAUAGGACUCCUUGAAUCAGGAUCCUUGACAGUUUCAGGCGGACAGUUUGUCUGGGGCGGAUGCCUCCUAAAAGGUAACGGAGGCGUGCAAAGGUUCCCUCAGGCUGGACGGAAAUCAGCUGUAGAGUGUAAAGGUACAAGGGAGCUUGACUGCAAGACCAACAAGUCGAGCAGGGGCGAAAGCCGGCCUUAGUGAUCCGACGGUACCGUGUGGAAGGGCCGUCGCUCAACGGAUAAAAGUUACUCUAAGGAUAACAGGCUGAUCUCCCCCAAGAGUUCACAUCGACGGGGAGGUUUGGCACCUCGAUGUCGGCUCAUCGCAACCUGGGGCUGUAGACGGUCCCAAGGGUUGGGCUGUUCGCCCAUGAAAGCGGUACGUGAGCUGGGUUCAGAACGUCGUGAGACAGUUCGGUCCAUAUCCGGUAUAAGCGUAAGAGCAUUGAGAGGAUCUCAACAUUGUACGAGAGGACCCGAAGGGACGUACCGAUGGUGUACCGGUUCUUGUGCCAACAGGAAACGCCGGGUAGCUAUGUACGGAGUGGAUAAUCGCUGAAAGCAUUUAAGUGAGAAGCCCACCUCAAGAUGAAUGCUCUCUAUUAGAUCGCGGCAAGACAAGCCGAUUGAUUGGCGUCAGGUGUAAGAUCAGUAAUGGUUUCAGCUGAGACGUACAAAGGAUCGAUUGA
rnacentral:rRNA from 1 species